GACGAACGCUGGCGGCGUGCUUAACACAUGCAAGUCGAACGGAAAGGCCCUGCUUUUGUGGGGUGCUCGAGUGGCGAACGGGUGAGUAACACGUGAGUAACCUGCCCUUGACUUUGGGAUAACUUCAGGAAACUGGGGCUAAUACCGGAUAGGAGCUCCUGCUGCAUGGUGGGGGUUGGAAAGUUUCGGCGGUUGGGGAUGGACUCGCGGCUUAUCAGCUUGUUGGUGGGGUAGUGGCUUACCAAGGCUUUGACGGGUAGCCGGCCUGAGAGGGUGACCGGCCACAUUGGGACUGAGAUACGGCCCAGACUCCUACGGGAGGCAGCAGUGGGAAAUGUUGAACAAUGGGCGGAAGCCUGAUGCAGCAACGCCGCGUGCGGGAUGACGGCCUUCGGGUUGUAAACCGCUUUCGCCUGUGACGAAGCGUGAGUGACGGUAAUGGGUAAAGAAGCACCGGCUAACUACGUG
rnacentral:rRNA from 1 species